UUGUUACUCCCUCCGUCCGGAAAUACUUGUCAUCAAAAUUGAUGAAAAUGGAUGUAUCUAGAACUAAAAUACAUCUAAAUACAUCCAUUUCAAUGACAAGUAUUUUCGGACGGAGGGAGUACAUC
rnacentral:pre_miRNA from 1 species